AUCCAGGCGAUGAAGAAGAGGAGUACGCAACGAUUCUUUAAAGAGAGGAAGCCCCGUGGCUGGAAGGGUUUCUAGAUGAUAGUUGCGGAAGGUAGCUUCCGAGCUUCCAAUCUGAAUUAGCAGUAGGAUUGGACGGGAUUUCCCGUUAAAAAACUCUUAAGAGCCAAGGCGGCAGCUGUCGUUUUGGAAGUAAGGUGGUACCGCGAUUACAAGACCUCGUCCUUAUA
rnacentral:ncRNA from 1 species